GUGGGGAAUCUUCCGCAAUGGACGAAAGUCUGACGGAGCAACGCCGCGUGAGUGAUGACGGCCUUCGGGUUGUAAAGCUCUGUUAAUCGGGACGAAAGGCCUUCUUGCGAAUAGUUAGAAGGAUUGACGGUACCGGAAUAGAAAGCCACGGCUAACUACGUGCCAGCAGCCGCGGUAAUACGUAGGUGGCAAGCGUUGUCCGGAAUUAUUGGGCGUAAAGCGCGCGCAGGCGGAUUGGUCAGUCUGUCUUAAAAGUUCGGGGCUUAACCCCGUGAUGGGAUGGAAACUGCCAAUCUAGAGUAUCGGAGAGGAAAGUGGAAUUCCUAGUGUAGCGGUGAAAUGCGUAGAUAUUAGGAAGAACACCAGUGGCGAAGGCGACUUUCUGGACGAAAACUGACGCUGAGGCGCGAAAGCCAGGGGAGCGAACGGGAUUAGAAACCCCAGUAGUCC
rnacentral:rRNA from 1 species